CCCACUCCUCUUCAAAGCUCAAGAUGGCCUGGCCGUUGGUCUUCCUUGCCUGUCUCACUUACUGCUCAGGAGUCAAUUCACAGCCACCAUGGAUUCAGCCAGCCUCCCUGUCUGUGUCUCUGGGAGAAACAGCAAACAUCUCCUGCACGGUCAGUGGACGUGUGAAUAAUAUUUAUUGGUACCAGCAAAAAACUGGGCAGGUCCCUCGCUAUGUGCAGUAUUCUGCUGGAGGCCGGGGUGCCGGGUUCCCAGAUCGAUUCACGGCUUCUGUGUCUGGGAACAUUGGAUAUUUAGCCAUCAGCGACAGCCAGGCAGAAGACGAGGCUGACUAUUACUGUGCGAUGUGGCAGAGCAGUGCCACAAAAAUAUCCUUCACGGUCACUGGAAGUGUGAAUACUAUUUCAUGGUACCAAGAGAAAUCUGGGGAGGCCCUUCGCUACGUGCACUAUGCUGGUGGAAACAGGGGUGACGGGAUCCCCGAUUGGUUCACGGCUUCUGUCUCGGGAAACAUUGGCCAUUUAACCAUCAGCAGCACCCAGGCCGAAGAUGAGGCUUCUUAUUACUGUUUAAUGUGGCACAGCAGUGCCAGCUCGUUACACGGUGGAAAGGUGUGGUGA